ensembl:lncRNA
UCACAGUGACGAACAAGAAGAAAGGAGAAAAAAAGAGCACGAGCGCGCAUCGUUAAAGCAGACUAACGUGAAAACACGUGACGAGACGAAGUCCGCACAGGCUCAGGAACAGACUUCAUCCUUUUACUUUAACCAUGAAACAUGAAGCUGUCGCUCAUAAUGAGACAGGAGCUCAGCUUUCAGCGUCACAGCUGGAACAACAUCAGCUGACAUGAAAGAAACACAGAGGUUUGUUCCCUGUUAGCAAAGAUGAAGAUGGAGAGCGUGAGGGAACUACAGAGAGGAGGAGGAGGAGGACACGGGCUGUGAGGGACGCAGUGGACCAGCCCUCAGACCUACAUCAGCAGGAGCGAGGACGACCCCCCAGUCUGAGGACGUUCCUCCACAUGAAUGGGGGACAGGAGGCGCAGCUUCCAGCCCAGCUGGUAGGAAAGUCCUCCUUGGGUGGACUUCUCUGUAACUAUGGACUCAUGCAUGCAGACGUUUCAGUCCACAGUGAUGUCAGUCAGUGCUUUUUAAAGCCGUGC